AUUGAACGCUGGCGGCAGGCCUAACACAUGCAAGUCGAGCGGAUGAUGGGAGCUUGCUCCUGGAUUCAGCGGCGGACGGGUGAGUAAUGCCUAGGAACCUGCCUGGUAGUGGGGGACAACGUUUCGAAAGGAACGCUAAUACCGCAUACGUCCUACGGGAGAAAGCAGGGGACCUUCGGGCCUUGCGCUAUCAGAUGAGCCUAGGUCGGAUUAGCUUGUUGGUGAGGUAAUGGCUCACCAAGGCGACGAUCCGUAACUGGUCUGAGAGGAUGAUCAGUCACACUGGAACUGAGACACGGUCCAGACUCCUACGGGAGGCAGCAGUGGGGAAUAUUGGACAAUGGGCGAAAGCCUGAUCCAGCCAUGCCGCGUGUGUGAAGAAGGUCUUCGGAUUGUAAAGCACUUUAAGUUGGGAGGAAGGGUUGUAGAUUAAUACCCUGCAAUUUUGACGUUACCGACAGAAUAAGCACCGGCUAACUCUGUGCCAGCCGCCGCGGUAAUAC
rnacentral:rRNA from 1 species